UACGGAAGGCAGCAGUGGGGAAUAUUGCACAAUGGGCGCAAGCCUGAUGCAGCCAUGCCGCGUGUAUGAAGAAGGCCUUCGGGUUGUAAAGUACUUUCAGUCGUGAGGAAGGUGUUAAGGUUAAUAACCUUAGCAAUUGACGUUAGCGACAGAAGAAGCACCGGCUAACUCCGUGCCAGCAGCCGCGGUAAUACGGAGGGUGCGAGCGUUAAUCGGAAUUACUGGGCGUAAAGGGCACGCAGGCGGUUAAUUAAGUUGGAUGUGAAAUCCCCGGGCUUAACCUGGGAAUGGCAUUCAAGACUGGUUAGCUAGAGUCUUGUAGAGGGGGUUAGAAUUCCAUGUGUAGCGGUGAAAUGCGUAGAGAUGUGGAGGAAUACCGGUGGCGAAGGCGGCCCCUGGACAAAGACUGACGCUCAUGUGCGAAAGCGUGGGGAGCGAAACAGGGAUUAGAUACC
rnacentral:rRNA from 1 species